rnacentral:rRNA from 1 species
CCCUUAGAUGUUCUGGGCCGCACGCGCGCUACACUGAUGCAUUCAACGAGCCUAUCCUUGACCGACAGGUCCGGGUAAUCUUUGAAUCUGCAUCGUGACGGGGAUAGAUUAUUGCAAUUAUUAAUCUUCAACGAGGAAUGCCUAGUAGGCGCAAGUCAUCAGCUUGCGUCGAUUACGUCCCUGCCCUUUGUACACACCGCCCGUCGCUCCUACCGAUUGGGUGUGCUGGUGAAAUGUUCGGAUCGGCCGUUUGUCGCGGUUUCCGCGGCUCGUGACUGAGAAGUUCAUUAAACCCUCCCACCUAGAGGAAGGAGAAGUCGUAACA